CAAGAGGUUAAGCAUAUUACUAAGCAGAGGAAAAGAAACUAACCAGGAUUCCCUCAGUAGCGGCGAGCGAAGAGGGAAGGGCCCAGCGCCGAAUCCCUGUCCGACGGGCGGGCAUGGGAAAUGUGGCGUAUAGGUGACCGCUUUGCCCGGUGUCGAUCGGGGGCCUGAAUCCUUCUGAUCGAGGCUCAGCCCGUGGAUGGUGUGAGGCCGGUAACGGCCCCCGUCGCACCGGGGUCCGGUCUUCUCGGAGUCGGGUUGCUUGUGAAUGCAGCCCAAAGUGGGUGGUAAACUCCAUCUAAGGCUAAAUACCGGAGGA
rnacentral:ncRNA from 1 species